rnacentral:pre_miRNA from 1 species
AUAAUACUCCCUCCGUCCGAAAAUACUUGUCAUCAAAAUGGACAAAAAGGGAUGUAUCUAGAACUAAAAUACAUCUAGAUACAUCCCUUUUUAUUCAUUUUGAUGACAAGUAUUUCCGGACGGAGGGAGUAUAGA